rnacentral:rRNA from 1 species
UACAGAGGGUGCGAGCGUUAAUCGGAAUUACUGGGCGUAAAGCGCACGUAGGCGGCUUGGUAUGUCGGGUGUGAAAUCCCCGGGCUCAACCUGGGAACUGCAUCCGAAACUGCCUUGCUCGAGUAUGGGAGAGGGAAGUGGAAUUUCCGGUGUAGCGGUGAAAUGCGUAGAUAUCAGGAAGAACACCCGUGGCGAAAGCGGCUCUCUGGAACGGUACUGACGCUGAGACGCGAAAGCGUGGGGAGCAAACAGG